CAUAUUUUUGUAAUAUUUUGCCAGGGUCAGUCUAUUUCUCUGAGCUUCACCAGUCUCCUUGAUGACGGACUCAACUACUGUAACCUCUACAAUCUGCUCUCAUCAAGCGGCCUCACUUCAGCCCCCGGCUUCAUAGAGAUGACAAACGAAUGGGCCUGCCUUGGGUAUGGACUCGCCACCUGCAAAGUCUGAACAGCUGACAUUUCAAAAUUAGACCAAGGUCGAGUUCUGCAAUGUUUAACAAAUUAUGUGUCAGAAAAUAAAUGUUAAAGCAAAAUUAAUUUAAUAUAGCUGAACACAAAAUGUAUUAGAUAGGCAAUAUUGAGUUAAAAAUCUUCAUGAAAAGGACAUGUUGACACUGCUGUAACAAAGCUACCUCUGGUGUAGUAUGUUACUAGCAGCUGCUAAAUGUGGCUGUUUGGGUACUGUGGUUCUCAGUUUUAACAUUUUCUGUACAACUUUACUCUGUAUUUUGUUGAACUAGUUUUAAAAGAAAAAGUCUAUUAAAAUCCUAAAUACACAAAUAA